rnacentral:rRNA from 1 species
UACGAAGGGGGCGAGCGUUGUUCGGAAUUACUGGGCGUAAAGGGCGCGCAGGCGGCUCUGAAAGUCAGAUGUGAAAGCCCCGGGCUUAACCUGGGAAUUGCAUUUGAUACUCUGGAGCUUGAGUACGGGAGAGGAGAGUGGAAUUCCCAGUGUAGAGGUGAAAUUCGUAGAUAUUGGGAAGAACACCGGUGGCGAAGGCGGCUCUCUGGGCAAUUCCUGACGCUGAGGCGCGAAAGCGUGGGGAGCAAACGGG